rnacentral:rRNA from 1 species
CCUACGGGAGGCAGCAGUGAGGAAUAUUGGUCAAUGGGCGAGAGCCUGAACCAGCCAAGUAGCGUGAAGGAUGACUGCCCUAUGGGUUGUAAACUUCUUUUAUAUGGGAAUAAAAUGUUCCACGUGUGGGAUUUUGUAUGUACCAUAUGAAUAAGGAUCGGCUAACUCCGUGCCAGCAGCCGCGGUAAUACGGAGGAUCCGAGCGUUAUCCGGAUUUAGUGGGUUUAAAGGGAGCGUAGGUGGGUUGUUAAGUCAGUUGUGAAAGUUUGCGGCUCAACCGUAAAAUUGCAGUUGAAACUGGCAGUCUUGAGUACAGUAGAGGUAGGCGGAAUUCGUGGUGUAGCGGUGAAAUGCUUAGAUAUCACGAAGAACUCCGAUUGCGAAGGCAGCUUACUGGACUGCAACUGACAUUGAGGCUCGAAAGUGUGGGUAUCAAACAGGAUUAGAUACCCUUGUAGUC